UACGUAGGGUGCAAGCGUUGUCCGGAAUUAUUGGGCGUAAAGAGCUUGUAGGCGGUUUGUCGCGUCUGCUGUGAAAUUUCGGGGCUCAACCCCGAACUUGCAGUGGGUACGGGCAGACUAGAGUGUGGUAGGGGAGACUGGAAUUCCUGGUGUAGCGGUGAAAUGCGCAGAUAUCAGGAGGAACACCGAUGGCGAAGGCAGGUCUCUGGGCCACUACUGACGCUGAGAAGCAAAAGCAUGGGGAGCGAACAGG
rnacentral:rRNA from 1 species